GACGAACGCUGGCGGCGUGCUUAACACAUGCAAGUUGAACGAUGAAGCCGGAGCUUGCUCUGGUGAAUUAGUGGCGAACGGGUGAGUAACACGUGAGUAACCUGCCCUUGACUCUGGGAUAACUGCGGGACACUGUAGUUAAUACCGGAUACGACCCUCGGGGGCAUCUCCUGGGGGUGGUAAGAAUUUCGGUCAAGGAUGGACUCGCGGCCUAUCAGCUAGUUGGUGAGGUAAAGGCUCACCAAGGCGACGACGGGUAGCCGGCCUGAGAGGGUGACCGGCCACACUGGGACUGAGACACGGCCCAGACUCCUACGGGAGGCAGCAGUGGGGAAUAUUGCACAAUGGGCGCAAGCCUGAUGCAGCAACGCCGCGUGAGGGAUGACGGCCUUCGGGUUGUAAACCUCUUUUAGCAGGGAAGAAGCGAAAGUGACGGUACCUGCAGAAAAAGCACCGGCUAACUACGUGCCAGCCGCCGCCGUAA
rnacentral:rRNA from 1 species